rnacentral:misc_RNA from 1 species
UGUGACCAGGCUCCUAGCAGCAUUGAGAUCCCCAAGCCAAAAAGGGUAUUGAACAUGGGACCUGCAUAGCAUCCAGACACAGCAAUCUGCACACUGUCACCACCAUUCAUUGCCAGGGCAAUGUUAGACACUAAAUCGCCCAUUGAGUUGCCCCACGCUAAUACAGUCAACCCAAGAAUUGAUGGAUUAAUCCCAAAGAUCAAGCCAAAUGCCACCAAUAAAGCAAC